rnacentral:piRNA from 1 species
UGGGAUGAUGCCUUCCCGCCAGACCUUGUA